GAUGAACGCUAGCGACAGGCCUAACACAUGCAAGUCGAGGGGCAGCACAUGCGUAGCAUUACAAUGGUGGCGACCGGCGCACGGGUGAGUAACACGUAUGCAACCUACCUGUAAGAGGGGAAUAACCCGGAGAAAUUCGGACUAACACCGCAUAAUACCUCGAAGCUGCAUGGCUUUGAGGUUAAAUAUUUAUAGCUUACAGAUGGGCAUGCGUAACAUUAGAUAGUUGGUGAGGUAACGGCUCAACAAGUCAACGAUGUUUAGGGGUUAUGAGAGGAAGGUCCCCCAAAUUGGAACGGAGACACGGUCCAAACUCCUACGGGAGGCAAGAGGGAGGAAUAUUGGUCAAUGGUCGAGAGCCUGAACCAGCCAAGGCGCGUGAAGGAUGACUGCCCUAUGGGUUGUAAACUUCUUUUUUAGGGGAAUAAAGUGAGUCACGUGUGACUUUUUGUAUGUACCCUACGAAUAAGCAUCGGCUAACUCCGUGCCAGCAGCCGCGGUAA
rnacentral:rRNA from 1 species